rnacentral:lncRNA from 1 species
AAGUCGGUUUAGCUAGGGUUAUAGAAAUGAAAGAACAAGUUGUAACAGUUUGUAAUAACUAGAUUGUAUUAUGGAAGUUAGAAUCAAGAUGUAAGGAAAAAUGUAAUGUGUAAAGUGCAUGUAAGUUGAAUGCUUGUAAUAGCUUAGUAUUUAUGUUUUCGAUACCUUCCUUAUACAAUCUGUGUUUGAAUACUGUUCCUUGUUGGAACCUCGUGUAUUGUAUGGAUUGUGACGUCUAGGACGUACAGGGGAGACUCUUUCUGUUUGGCGGUCUGUUGGCGUGCCCGAAUCCGACCAUAGUGG